rnacentral:rRNA from 1 species
ACGAAGGGGGCUAGCGUUGCUCGGAUUGACUGGGCGUAAAGGGCGCGUAGGUGGUUCGUACAGUCAGACGUGAAAUUCCUGGGCUCAACCUGGGGGCUGCGUUUGAUACGUGCGGACUUGAGUGCGGAAGAGGGUCGUGGAAUUCCCAGUGUAGAGGUGAAAUUCGUAGAUAUUGGGAAGAACACCGGUGGCGAAGGCGGCCAGCUGGGCCAUUGCUGACGCUGAUGCGCGAAAGCGUGGGGAGCAAACAGGA